AUUGAACGCUGGCGGCAGGCCUAACACAUGCAAGUCGAACGAGUGGCGGACGGGUGAGUAAUGUCUGGGCAACUGCCUGAUGGAGGGGGAUAACUACUGGAAACGGUAGCUAAUACCGCAUACCAUCGGAUGUGCCCAGAUGGGAUUAGCUAGUAGGUGGGGUAAAGGCUCACCUAGGCGACGAUCCCUAGCUGGUCUGAGAGGAGGACCAGCAAAACUGGAACGGAGAAACGGUCCAGACCCCUACGGGAGGAAGCAGUGGGGAAUAUUGGACAAUGGGGGAAAGCCGGAUGCAGCCAUGCCGCGUGUAUGAAGAAGGCCUUCGGGUGGUAAAGUACGUUCAGCGGGGAGGCGGUACCCGCAGAAGAAGCAACGGCUAACUCCGUGCCAGCAGCCGCGGUAAUAC
rnacentral:rRNA from 1 species